rnacentral:rRNA from 1 species
GACGAACGCUAGCGGCGUGCCUAAUACAUGCAAGUCGAGCGAAUCUUUGGGUGCUUGCACCCAUUGGUUAGCGGCGGACGGGUGAGUAACACGUGGGCAACCUGCCUGUAAGACUGGGAUAACUUCGGGAAACCGGAGCUAAUACCGGAUAAUCCUUUUCCUCUCAUGAGGAAAAGCUGAAAGACGGCGUAAGCUGUCACUUACAGAUGGGCCCGCGGCGCAUUAGCUAGUUGGUGAGGUAACGGCUCACCAAGGCGACGAUGCGUAGCCGACCUGAGAGGGUGAUCGGCCACACUGGGACUGAGACACGGCCCAGACUCCUACGGGAGGCAGCAGUAGGGAAUCUUCCGCAAUGGACGAAAGUCUGACGGAGCAACGCCGCGUGAGUGAAGAAGGCCUUCGGGUCGUAAAGCUCUGUUGUUAGGGAAGAACAAGUACCGGAGUAACUGCCAGUACCUUGACGGUACCUAACCAGAAAGCCACGGCUAACUACGUGCCAGCAGCCGCCGUAAGAC